rnacentral:rRNA from 1 species
AUGUCUCCGUCUUGUGGAAGAUGCACACGGCGCGAUGUAUACAACUACAGAAAUUCGGAGGAUGAAAAUAAACAUUUCUUGAUGCUUAUGUUGGGUGAUUUUCAACAACAGAUGAUAAUCCCAAAAGAGUAUGUGCGAUGCCUGAAAGGCGAGAUCCCGGGUGAGAUCAACCUAGAAACUCGAAACAGGGACAGUUACACAAUUAAGGUUGCCAAGUACCAGGAAAAGCAUGUUCUUACAGCGGGUUGGCCCCAAUUCGUCGAGAACUUCCAUCUACAGUUGGGUGAUUCCUUACUAUUCAGAUACAAUGGAGACUCUCUGUUUAGUAUUAUAAUUUUUGAUAAGCUUGGCCGUGAGGAAGCAUCAUUCGUUCUUGUCGAUCCUUUUCCACCACAAGUCCAAGGAAGACACAACGAAAUCGGAUCAUCCAAAAGGAAUUUGUUCAGCGUUUCAAGGGAGAGAUCCCAGGAGAGAUUGAACUUGAAACAAAGAAUAAAUGUCAAUACAAAAUUCAAGUUAUCAAGAACCAAGAAGAGCAGCUUGUGCUUGCAGCGGGAUGGGGGAGCUUGUGUACAGAAGUUUAGUCUAGAGAUACGUGACAGAAUAAUAUUAUUCAGAUACAAUGGGAACUCCCGGUUCAGUGUCAUAAUCUUGGAUGAACUUGGGCGUGAGAAGGCUUCAUCUGUUGUCAAUCUGCUCCCGCCUCGUGCACUCGAAAGGCACACAAAUGGUGCUGAAACCGUGAGCCGACAUCCUUCUGAUGGUCCCGUGGACUGUUCUCAUCCGCUCAUGCUAAUGCCACCGCCUGCUCAGUUUCAUCAGCAGCAGCAGGCCAUCCUAAUGCAGCCUCCCCUGAAUCAUUCCUCCUCCUCCAAGUCAUCAGCUGGACAAGGAGAUGGCUCUUUCUCGUCACAUGAUCAUGUCCGGAAUGCACUUGGUUUCAGGCGUGUUGUUAGAAGAAAUCCAACCUCAUCUCAGAAGCAGCAGGAGAAGGAUGGUUAUAUUACCACGGAUAAGACCAAGCUAACCUCUGCUCAGGAGCAGCGGGUGAAAGACAUGGUCCAGACUAUCCGUUCACGCAGAAGUGGCAUAACCAUCUUUGUUGCUCUGAUUGGCAAGGCCAAUGUUCAUCCAGCAUUCUCCCUGACUGUCCCAAUCACGUACGGGGAGGAACAUUUUGGAGAUGGGAAAGUCAUCUGCUUCCAGCUAGGCGAGAAAAAAUGGAAUGCCUGCUUCAGCAGUUCACGCAAUGAUUAUCGGAUUGAAAGGGGAUGGAGUACAUUUGUCAAGGACAACUCUUUGAACAUAGGUGAUAUCUGCCUCCUUGAGCCGUUGAGCAACCAGGGGAGUACCAUGGAAGUCCAUAUCAUCCAUGUGAAUAAUGGCAAUUGA